rnacentral:piRNA from 1 species
UGAUUGAUUUGAAAUCCUUCU